ACCAGCUAACGACAGAAAUUUUGACAAAGCGGUUCCACUACUUAAGGAGUAAUUUUCAAAAACUCCUAAAGAAAGUUGAAAAAACUCCAAGUGGUUCUGGCAGUACACCAGCUGUAAAAUGGGAGUACUAUUCUGCUUGCAAAUUCAUGCAGCCUGUCUACACGAUAGAUAGCAAUUCCUCCAGUUUUGAAAUGCCUGAGGAUUCUACGGCAUCAACUGAACAGACUGAGGAGUUGGUAUGGACCGGUGUCAUAAGUGAAUUGGUGGACGACCCUCUUACUGAUGCAUCAGCAAAGGACACAGAUAUUCCUUCUGCUUAUUGCAACUCAAC